rnacentral:rRNA from 1 species
GGUUAAGCGACUAAGCGUACACGGUGGAUGCCCUGGCAGUCAGAGGCGAUGAAGGGCGUGCUAAUCUGCGAUAAGCGCCGGUAAGGUGAUAUGAACCGUUAUAACCGGCGAUACCCGAAUGGGGAAACCCAGUGUGACUCGUCACACUAUCAUUAACUGAAUCCAUAGGUUAAUGAGGCGAACCGGGGGAACUGAAACAUCUAAGUACCCCGAGGAAAAGAAAUCAACCGAGAUUCCCCCAGUAGCGGCGAGCGAACGGGGAGGAGCCCAGAGCCUGAAUCAGCAUGUGUGUUAGUGGAAGCGUCUGGAAAGGCGCGCGAUACAGGGUGACAGCCCCGUACACAAAAGCGCAUGUGCUGUGAGCUCGAUGAGUAGGGCGGGACACGUGGUAUCCUGUCUGAAUAUGGGGGGACCAUCCUCCAAGGCUAAAUACUCCUGACUGACCGAUAGUGAACCAGUACCGUGAGGGAAAGGCGAAAAGAACCCCGGCGAGGGGAGUGAAAAAGAACCUGAAACCGUGUACGUACAAGCAGUGGGAGCCCCACCACCA